rnacentral:lncRNA from 1 species
AUGGCGGAGGCCGCGCCGCAUCACCCGGCGCUGCCCUCGGGGCUGCUGGAGCUGUGCGCGCUGCUGGGGGCCCCCCGGGACAGCCUUCGCGGCCCGGAGCAGGUUGCCCAGAGGAAGGGAGUCAAGGACCUGUCUUCUCUAGAUCCGGAGGUGCUGUCGGUCUUCGUGCCUCCUUUUGUCAUGAAGGAGGACAGUCAGCCCGCCGCCGUGAACUGCAUGACGCUGGCUAAGAACAGGAAGCGCUCCUUCCGGAAGAAGAGAGAGAGGCCCAGAGUGGAGCUGGGGAAGGGCGUCCCCGGCGGCCCUAGGGGCCCGGACCCCGAGGACGUGAACAUCCCCAACGGCGUGGACCUGCUCGCUCUGCCGCAGCUCUGCUUCCCAGGGGGCUUGUGUGUGGCCUCUGAGCCCAGAGAGGACUGUGUCCACUUUCUGGUGCUGACCGACGUCUGCGGCAACAGAACCUACGGCGUGGUGGCGCAGUACUACCGACCCCUGCACGAUGAGUACUGCUUCUACAACGGCAAGACGCACUGGGAGGCGCCCGGCUGCUUCGUGCCCUUCGCGGUGUGCGUGGUCUCCAGGUUCCCCUAUUACAACGCCCUCAAGGACUGUCUCUCCUGUUUAUUGACUCAUCUGAAGUUCUGUAAAGAUUUCGAAGUUGACAACCACAUAAAAGACUUUGCUGCAAAACUAUCUUUAAUACCCAGCCCGCCCCCUGGACCACUCCAUUUGAUAUUUAACAUGAAACCACUACAGAUCGUGUUUCCCUCGAGAGCGGACCCCGAAAGCCCCCUCAUCGACUUGGACCUUCACCUGCCCUUGCUGUGCUUCAGACCUGAGAAGGUGCUACAGAUCCUCACCUGCCUCCUGACGGAGCAGCGCAUCGUCUUCUUCUCGUCCAGCUGGGCUCUGCUGACGCUCGUGGCCGAGUGCUUCAUGGCCUACCUGCACCCCCUGCAGUGGCAGCACACCUUCGUGCCCAUCCUGUCCGGGCAGAUGCUGGACUUCCUCAUGGCGCCAACCUCCUUCCUCAUGGGCUGCCACCUCGACCACUUUGAGGAGGUCAGCAAGGAAGCCGAUGGUUUAAUUCUGAUAAACAUCGACAAUGGGAACAUCACCUACUCUAACGAUGAGGAGGUUGAUGUUCCCGACAUCCCUCUCCUGGCCGCACAGACGUUUAUUCAGAGGGUCCAGAGCCUUCAGCUGCACCACGAGCUGGAGCUGGCUCACCUCUGCACCAGCACAGACGUGAACGAGGGCCGGGCCUCCAGGCGGGCCUGGCAGCAGCGGCUCAACUGCCAGAUCCAGCAGAUGACCCUGCAGCUGCUCGUCAGCAUCUUCAGGGAAGUGAAGAAUCACUUGAAUUAUGAACAUAGAGUGUUCAAUAGUGAAGAGUUUCUCAAAACAAGAGCUCUAGGGGACCAGCAGUUUUAUAAACAGGUCCUGGAUACAUACAUGUUUCACGCCUUCCUCAAGGCCCGGCUCAGCAGAAGGAUGGACGCCUUUGCCCAGAUGGACCUCCACACGCAGUCUGAGGAGGACAGGAUAAACGGGAUGCUCCUGAGUCCGAGGAGACCCACGAUCGAGAAGAUGGCCAGCCGGAAGUCCUCAACCCCACACGCGGCCCACCGGCGCAUGGUGGUCAGCAUGCCCAACCUGCAGGACAUCGCAGUGCCGGAGCUGCCGCCCCGGAACGCGUCGCUUCGGAAGAUACAGACCACGGAGUGUGGGAGCAGCGGCGCAGUUCUGGACAUGCCCCCCAAGUCGACACACACCUUCAAGAUCCCGGAAAUCCACUUCCCGCUGGUGGCCCAGUGCGUGCAGGCGUUCUACGCGGACUGUGUGGCCCAGCUGAGCAAGGCCAUAGGCUCACUGACCCCCGAGAACUCGGUGCUGCUGGCCAGGUACUUCUACCUGCGGGGGCUGGUGCGGCUGAUGCAGGGCCAGCUGCUGGGCGCUCUGCUGGACUUCCAGAGCCUGUAUAAGACCGACGUGUGCGUCUUCCCCGCCGACCUCGUCCAGAUGACUGUGGAGUCCCUGUCGGCACCCGAGCGCACGCAGGCCGAGCGCACGCCCGAGCUGCUCCGGCUCAUCAGCGAGGUCAUGGACAGGCCCGCGGACGCCCCCAAGGCCGACGACCGCGUCAAGAACUUCGAGCUGCCCAAGAAGCACAUGCAGCUGGACGACUUCGUGAAGAGGGUGCAGGAGUCGGGCAUCGUGAAGGACACCAGUGUCAUACACCGGCUGUUCGAGGCGCUGACUGUAGGACACCAGAAACAGAUUGACCCAGAAACGUUCAAAGAUUUCUACAACUGCUGGAAGGAGGCAGAAGCCGAGGCGCAGGAGGUCAGCCUGCCUUUGUCGGUGAUGGAGCAGCUGGACAAAAGCGAGUGUGUGUACAAGCUGUCGCGCUCCGUCAAGACGAAUCGCGGGGUGGGCAAGAUCGCCAUGACCCAGAAGCGCCUGUUCCUCCUCACGGAGGGGCGGCCGGGCUACGCGGAGAUCUCCACCUUCAGGAACAUAGAGGACGUCAGAAGCACCAUGGCCACUUUUCUGCUCCUGAGAAUUCCCACGUUAAAAAUCAAAACGGCGUCCAAGAAGGAAGUCUUUGAAGCUAACCUGAAGACGGAGUGUGACCUCUGGCACCUGAUGGUGAAGGAGAUGUGGGCCGGCAGGAAGCUGGCCGACGACCACAAGGACCCCCAGUACGUACAGCAGGCGCUGACCCACAUUCUCUUGAUGGACGCGGUCGUCGGCACGCUGCAGUCGCCGGGAGCCAUCUAUGCGGCCUCCAAGUUGUCCUACUUUGAUAGGAUGAAGAAUGAAAUGCCCAUGGCGGUUCCGAAGACAACCUCGGAAACCCUGAAACACAAGAUCAACCCCUCGGCGGGGGAGACCGCCCCACGAGCCAUCGACGUGCUGCUCUACACCCCAGGGCAUCUUGACCCGGCGGAAAAAGUGGAGGACGCUCACCCCAAAUUAUGGUGCGCGCUGAACGAGGGCAAGGUGAUCGUAUUCGACGCUUCCUCCUGGACGAUUCACCAGCACUGCUUUAGAGUGGGCGCUUCUAAGCUGAACUGCAUGGUGAUGGCGGAGCAGAGCCAGGUGUGGGUCGGCUCGGAGGACUCCGUCAUCUACAUCAUCAACGUCCACAGCAUGUCCUGCAACAAGCAGCUCACCGACCACCGCGCCAGCGUCACGGGCCUGGCCGUGCAGGACGGGCUGCAGGCACCCAGCACCGUGUACUCGUGCAGCGCGGAUGGAACGGUCCUGGCGUGGAACGCAAGCUCCCUGCAGGUGACCGGCAGAUUCCAGGUGCGCGGUGGAGGGCUCUCGGCUAUCAGACUGCACGGCGGCCGCCUCUGGUGCUGCACUGGAGACAGCAUCCUGGUGGUGAACAUGAAUGGAUAUCCUUGUCAAGAGCUGAAGAUCAACGGGAGAUUUAAAGAGACAGGCACCUCCUUCCGGGGAUUCCAGCUCAUGCCUGAGCAGGAGCAGCUCUGGGCGGCCUGUGCUGGGUACCCCGACGUCUACGUCUGGAGCCUGCAGGACCUAGCCCAGCCCCCACAGAGGAUCCACCUCGAGGACUGCUCUGAGAUCAACUGCAUGAUCAAGGUGAAGAAGCAGAUCUGGGUAGGUGCCACGGGGCUGUCGCAGGGGCAACUGAAGGGGAAGAUCUACGUGAUGGAUGCGGAGAGGAGGACGGUGGAGAAGGAGCUGUUGGCCCACGCGGACACGGUGAAGACGCUGUGCUCCGCGGAGGACAGAUACGUGCUGAGUGGCGCUGGCCGUGAGGAGGGGAAGAUCGCCAUCUGGAAGGUCGAGUGA